GACAAAGAGUAAGUCUUAGUAAGACUUUACACCUGAACAUUUCUAACUAAUUAAGCUAUUAACAGGCUAGGUCUGGGGCUUCCUAUUCACACCUGGCUUUUUACUGGUAUACUAAAAAAGGUCUUCUACACUGCAGCAGCAAUGCAGUACUAUAAGAAACAGCAGUCAGAAGAAGUGGUUCCCUCACAAGUUGUGUCCAGAAUAAACAAACAGAAAUAGAAAAGAAUAUGUUUGGGCCACUUUUUGUUUCAGAUGUAGGCUAGACAGCUGCUGCUCUCCAGGACAC
rnacentral:lncRNA from 1 species